rnacentral:rRNA from 1 species
AUUGAACGCUGGCGGCACGCCUAACACAUGCAAGUCGAGCGGCAGCGAGACUAGUAGCAAUACUAGUUGUCGGCGAGCGGCGGACGGGUGAGUAACACGUAGGAAUCUGCCCUUAAGCGGGGGAUAACCAAGGGAAACUUUGGCUAAUACCGCAUAAUCUCGAGAGAGCAAAGCUGCCAGCAAGGGUGGCACUUGAGGAGGAGCCUGCGUCCGAUUAGCUAGUUGGUGGGGUAAUGGCCUACCAAGGCGAUGAUCGGUAACUGGUCUGAGAGGACGACCAGUCACACUGGGACUGAGACACGGCCCAGACUCCUACGGGAGGCAGCAGUGGGGAAUAUUGGACAAUGGGGGCAACCCUGAUCCAGCGAUGCCGCGUGAGUGAAGAAGGCCUUCGGGUCGUAAAGCUCUUUAGGUUGGGAAGAAGGAUAUUGGCUGAAUAAUCCAGUACUUUGACGGUACCGACAGGAUAAGCACCGGCAAACUCUGUGCCAGCCGCCGCAGUAACAC